UACGUAGGGGGCAAGCGUUAUCCGGAUUUACUGGGUGUAAAGGGAGCGUAGACGGUAAAGCAAGUCUGAAGUGAAAGCCCGCGGCUCAACUGCGGGACUGCUUUGGAAACUGUUUAACUGGAGUGUCGGAGAGGUAAGUGGAAUUCCUAGUGUAGCGGUGAAAUGCGUAGAUAUUAGGAGGAACACCAGUGGCGAAGGCGACUUACUGGACGAUAACUGACGUUGAGGCUCGAAAGCGUGGGGAGCAAACAGGAUUAGAUACC
rnacentral:rRNA from 1 species